rnacentral:sRNA from 1 species
GCUGGGUGCUGUGGCGCAUGCCUGUAAUCCCAGCAGCUCAGGAGACUGAGGCAGGAGGAUCAUGAGUUCAAAGCCAGCCUCAGCAAUUUAUCGAGGCCCUAAGCAACUCAGCGAGACCCUGUCUCUA